rnacentral:rRNA from 1 species
UACUGAGUGGCGAACGGGUGAGUAUAAUGUAGGUAUCUGCCUUUUGGUUUGGAAUAACACGAGGAAACUUGUGCUAAUACCGGAUAAGCCUUCACAGGGAAAGUUUUAACGCCAAAAGAUGAGCCUGCACUUGAUUAGCUAGUUGGUAAGGUAAUGGCUUACCAAGGCUACGAUCAAUAGCUGUUCUUAGAGGAAGAUCAGCCACAUUGGGACUGAGACACGGCCCAAACUCCUACGGGAGGCAGCAGUGGGGAAUCUUGCACAAUGGGGGAAACCCUGAUGCAGCGAUGCCGCGUGAGUGAAGAAGGCCUUUGGGUUGUAAAGCUCUUUCGUCGGGGAAGAAAAUGACUGUACCCGAAUAAGAAGGUCCGGCUAACUUCGUGCCAGCAGCCGCGGUAAUACGAAGGGACCUAGCGUAGUUCGGAAUUACUGGGCUUAAAGAGCACGUAGGUGGUUAAAAAAGUUGGUGGUGAAAUCCCAAGGCUUAACCUUGGAACUGCCACCAAAACUUUUUAGCUAGAGUAUGAUUGAGGUAAGCGGAAUUUCUAGUGUAGAGGUGAAAUUCGUAGAUAUUAGAAAGAACACCAAUUGCGAAGGCAGCUUUCUGGAUCAUUACUGACACUGAGGUGCGAAAGCAUGGGUAGCGAAGAGGAUUAGAUA